rnacentral:rRNA from 1 species
GACGAACGCUGGCGGCGUGCUUAACACAUGCAAGUCGAACGGAAGGGCCCUACUUUUGUUUGUUUCUCGUUUGGCGAGCGGGGGUGUGACACGUGAGUAACCUGCCCUUAUCUUUGGGAUAACUUCACGAAACUCGGGCUAAUACCCGGUAGGAUCUCCUGAUCCAUGGUGGUCGUUGGAAAAAUUCGGCCGUUCGGGAUGGACUGGCGGGUUAUGCGCUUGUUGGUGGGGUAGUGGCGUUCCAAGGCUUUGACGGGUAGCCGGCCUGAGAGGGUGACCGGCCACAUUGCGACUGCGAGAGGGCCCAGAAGGGUACGGGAGGCAGCAGUGGGGAGCAUUGCACAAUGGGCGGAAGCCUGAUGCAGCAACGCCGCGUGCGGGAUGACGGCUUUCGGGUUGUAAACCGCUUUCGCCUGUGACGAAGCGUGAGUGACGGUAAUGGGUAAAGAAGCACCGGCUAACUACGUG